AUUGAACGCUGGAGGCAGGCCUAACACAUGCAAGUCGAGCGAGAGGCGGACGGGUGAGUAAUGUCUGGGCAACUGCCUGAUGGAGGGGGAUAACUACUGGAAACGGUAGCUAAUUACGCAUACCAUCAGAUGUGCCCAGAUGGGCAUAGCUAGUAGGUGGGGUAACGGCUCCACUAGGCGACGAUCCCUAGCUGGUCUGUGAGGAUGACCAGCCACACGGGAACUGAGACACGGUCCAGAGUCCUACGGGAGGCAGCAGUGGGGAAUAUUGCACAAUGGGCGCAAGCCUGAUGCAGCCAUGCCGCGUGGUUGAAGAGGGCCUUCGGGUUGUAAAGCACUUUCAGCGGGGAGGCGUUACCCGCAGAAGAAGCACAGGCUAACUCCGUGCCAGCAGCCGCGGUAAUAC
rnacentral:rRNA from 1 species